AUCAGCCGCGCUGGUGCGAGCCGCUGCGGGGCCGGGAUCGCGGCUAUGAAGUCACCACCAACAAUCCACCGGGUGGCGGCGUCAUGCUGCUCGAGAUGCUCAACGUGCUGGAGAACUUCGAUCUCUCCGCGCUCGGGCACAACAGCGUCGAAUAUGUGCGGGUGGUCUGCGAGGCGAUGAAACGUGCCACCGCCGACAAGGACCGUUUNNNNNNNNNNCCGGGAUUCCUGGACAUACCUGUCGCGAAACUGACGUCGAAGGACUAUGCCGCCACGAUGGCGGCCGAG
rnacentral:misc_RNA from 1 species